CACGUAGGGGGCGAGCGUUGUCCGGAUUUAUUGGGCGUAAAGAGCUCGUAGGCGGCUCAGUAAGUCAGGUGUGAAAACUCCAGGCUCAACCUGGAGACGCCACUUGAUACUGCUGUGGCUAGAGUCCGGUAGGGGAGCAUGGAAUUCCUGGUGUAGCGGUGAAAUGCGCAGAUAUCAGGAGGAACACCAGUGGCGAAGGCGGUGCUCUGGGCCGGAACUGACGCUGAGGAGCGAAAGCUAGGGGAGCAAACGGG
rnacentral:rRNA from 1 species